UACGAGGGGUGCAAGCGUUGUUCGGAAUUACUGGGCGUAAAGCGUGAGGAGGCGGCUUGUUAAGUCUGAUGUGAAAGCCCUGGGCUCAACCUGGGAACGGCAUUGGAAACUGGCUUACUAGAGUGCGGUAGAGGGGUGUGGAAUUCCCGGUGUAGCAGUGAAAUGCGUAGAUAUCGGGAGGAACAUCUGUGGCGAAGGCGACACCCUGGACCAGCACUGACACUGAGGCACGAAAGCGUGGGGAGCAAACAGG
rnacentral:rRNA from 1 species